rnacentral:rRNA from 1 species
GUAAUGUCUGGGAAACUGCCUGAUGGAGGGGGAUAACUACUGGAAACGGUAGCUAAUACCGCAUAACGUCGCAAGACCAAAGUGGGGGACCUUCGGGCCUCAUGCCAUAAGAUGUGCCCAGAUGGGAUUAGCUAGUAGGUGGGGUAACGGCUCACCUAGGCGACGAUCCCUAGCUGGUCUGAGAGGAUGACCAGCCACACUGGAACUGAGACACGGUCCAG